UAAUUAUUGCUUUACAUAUGUUCGCCCCCAAACCCUAAAGACAAUAGUUGCAAUGGCUAAUUUGCUAUGCAAGUCACUCCAAACACAUCUUUGUUGCCCUUAUUAAAGCACCAAAAUAAAAAUUUGGAUGGUUUCUUUCACUUUUGUACUUUGGAUUUAUUUUUUAUUUGAUUGAGAAUGGUGACUUUAGGACUUGAGAAAAAAAGAGUUUUGCCAAAGACGAAGUUUCUGGUUUGAAAUGAACUCAUGAUUGCUGAAGUUUUGUAAGCCAUUUAUUCAUAACUAGUUGAUUGUUUGAUCAGUAAUUGAAACAUCUUUUUGAAAGCCAUUCAGAAGGCCUCUUUUAAAUCUUCAAAAUAACCCUCUUCCCCCUUUAAUGAAAGAUUUUCCCAAUACUCAAAAUUGUAUUGUACCUCCAUGUGAAAUCCUUCUCUUGCCUAGAUUUUGAAGAAUACAGUACCCAUCAUGAAUGUGAGCCGCAAUCUUAACAACACUGUAGCUUUAGCUGUUGCCUUAUGUAUCUUGUCCAUCUGCUCCACUUGACAUGCAAUGCAUGAUAACUUUGCAAUUUUUUUUUGAUUGUUCAUGAAAAUUGGUAAAAUACUUUGCCUUAUGGAAUUUAUUCUGUAUGAAACUUCUUAUUUAUAUCUCUUCAGCCUUCUUUCCUGGAUUGACAGUACCUUUUCUAAAAGAUGUCUCCAUGACAACAUGAUUCUUGUCCUCUUUUUUUAACAUUUUAGUAAUUAAGUUGUUAGUUUGAGCAUAAAACUUUGGAACAGCAUCACUUGUUUAAUCUUGUUAGCCUCUUGCCUUCUUGGCAUCAUGGGAUUUGGGUUUCAUUGUUUGUUCUCCCUAUUUUACAAUUAAAAAUACUUAAAAUUGUAAUAGAGCUUUAUCUCUCAGCCAAGUUUCUCUAGUCCAUACUCUGUCCUAUUUAGGGCUUCAUCUGUUAUUAAAUCUGGGCUGUUGUCAGUCUUCUCAUAUUCUUGGUCCGCAUGCCUCUUUUCAUCUUUCCUCUUCGGAACUUAAUUUUCUGUAUAUUUGAAUUUAGCUUAAAGAAUUUUUUGUUGCUCGCUCGGUUUUGGGAAGAUAUUGCCAGACUAUCAAUUUGGCUGUAUGAAUCACUUUUACAAUCUCUACCAUUUUCUGGUGAUUUAGCAAGGAAUAACUGAUAGCUUCAUGCUAUCUGUACGUACAGUUGAUGAUUUCUCUACUUAUGGGGUUUCAAUUUCAACUUUGAAGGCAUUAUCAAUCCUACUUUGUAUCCUUCAUGUCUUGGUUGGUGUCAGACUGGCACAGAAAUUUGCGCUUAAUUUUUUGAUCAGUUUCUUUGGAACUCAAUAAUUAGGAAGAGAAAAGUACCUGCAGAUGUGAUGAUUUAUGUUCUUAGACAUCCAUAGCGCAUGUGAAAGUGCUUUAAUCUUUAGGUGCAACACGUGCAUUGACCAAUUCUUUUGGUAUUCAUCUCUUCUUUUCUUCAGUUGCCUUCUCAAUUCGAUCCUACAUUUAUGUUGUGUACCCUGAAUGCAGUGCAUAGGCUUGUGCUAGGGGGGUUGUGUGACUCAAGGUUCUUUCCUCUGAGAGAGAGAGAUUUUAAUUUACCUAAUCUCCUGUUCUGAUAUGUCAAGAUUGUUUAUGGUCUGACCAUAUGCCAAGGCUCUGCUAUUUUUAUUAAUUCACAUAAAUGGCUCAAAUUUGUCACCUGGAAUGUUAAUCAUGAUCAAAGCUGGGAUGCUUUAUCAAGAUAAUUGUGAUCUGCGUUUUCUGCUCCUUUCAAAUUUAAGUUUCACUUUCUGCUUUCAGCUAUUGGUGUUUCAAUCGCAAACAUUGCUUAAUUUCUGCAAGGAUCACUUCUGAUGCGCUGAUUAUAUGGAC
rnacentral:misc_RNA from 1 species